rnacentral:rRNA from 1 species
CAGCCGUAAACAAUGUGCGUUAGGUGUGUCGGUAACCACGUGUUACUGAUGCGCCGAAGAGAAAUCGUGAAACGCACCACCUGGGAAGUACGGUCGCAAGGCUGAAACUUAAAGGAAUUGGCGGGGGGAGGCACCACAACAGGUGGAGCCUGCGGUUUAAUUGGAUUCAACGCCGGACAUCUCACCGGAUAAGACAGCUGAAUGAUUGUCAAUCUGAAGGUUUUACAUGACUAGCUGAGAGGAGGUGCAUGGC